GUUGCCGGGCGGCGGCGGCAGCGUCGCGGCCGCAGGUUGGCUGCCGGCGGCGGGCGCGGUGCCGCAUCGCUAUAAAAGGAAGCGGCGCGGGAGGAGGGAGAGGCGGCCCUGGCACCUCCGUCGCGCCCAGCCCGCACCCCCCCCUCGGGAGCUUCGCCCCGCCAGAGGUUGGCCCUGUUCCUGUAGGAAAGACAGAAACUGAGGAAGAUCCGGGAUCACCAAUCUGCCCUUCAUCCCCACGCUUCUAUCCAGAGGUGUCUUUGAAGCAGCGUGCGGCUACUGGUGUCACCAGGUCACUACGGAAGUCUGCAGGCUCCAACAGAAAACCACUGCAAAACCCUUACUUAACCAACAGCUACUGACCUCUUCUCUGCACAUUUGGCUCAGGAGGCGACUCGUCUUUCUUCAGGCUGAAGUUCAGGAGCACGUUUCAAUCCUUUCCACGAAAAGCAACAAGCGCAAGGGGAGGAGAUGUUUCUGACCAGAGACUACAAGGACCAAGACCAAACUGGUGGGAACUGCAGAGUAGCACUGACACUGGAUUUAAAGUUCCAGGGCCAGCUGUGGAAACAAGACACGGCGGGCUGGCUUUCCGUAGAGCCUACUGAAGCCAGAGGGAAACCAAGCGAAACUCAUGGACAAAA